rnacentral:lncRNA from 1 species
UUAACAUGGUAUCUAGAGCAAGGUUCGAUCCGCCUUGAACUAUUUGUCGCUUCCGCUUUCGAAUUCCCAAAAGAUUGGGAAUAUAUUUGUUGCUGAAAAUCUGAUCAGAAUGAAUAUAUUUGUUCGGUUGAAUUUGUGCUGCUGCGUUUUUGGAUCUCUCUUGAUGUGAUUUUCCGUUCUGCAAACAAAUGUGAGUGUGUCGAUAUUGUUCUUUUUGGUGGCCACAUAGUGCUUAUGUCUCAUAUAGUUUUGUUGCUUUUUGAUUUAGUUGGCAUAGUAGAUUUAUUACUUUGAUUUAGUCUAUUUCCUUGGAGCUGCCGUUUGUGUUUUUUUUUUGUUGUUGGACUUGCAACAUUUGGUUUUGUAAGUUACAUGAUAGAAGAAAUUGGGUAAUGUUGAAGCAGAAGCAAUUUAUUUA